rnacentral:sRNA from 2 species
ACUUCCGUCAUCUGGGGAGUAGCCAACCGCUCGAACAAGCGGACCCCUGCGUCAACAUACUCGGUCGAGAGGCCGUGGUGCAGGAGGAACGGGCCACCGUUCGGGCGAGACCAAUGACAUUGCAUCUCCGUUCGGCUGGGCGGGAUUUGCGAUGUCGUUUGUCUUGUCUGUUGCCCGGCCCG